UGCUGCAUGGCUGUCGUCAGCUCGUGUCGUGAGAUGUUCGGUUAAGUCCGCUAACGAGUCGCAACCCUCGCUGUGUGUUACAAGUGUCACACGGAACUGCCGGUCAUAAACCGGAGGAAGGUGGGGAUGACGUCAAGUCAGCAUGGCCUUUAUAUCCUGGGCUACACACACGCUACAAUGGGAAGGGACAAUAGGUUGCGAAACCGCGAGGUGGAGCCAAUCCAAGCAAAACUUCCCUCAGUUCAGAUUGCAGGCUGCAACUCGCCUGCAUGAAGUUGGAGUUGCUAGUAAACGCAGGUCAGCCAUACUGCGUUGAAUACGUUCCCGGGGCUU
rnacentral:rRNA from 1 species